rnacentral:rRNA from 1 species
AUGUCUGCCAGGUUUGCGCCCAUCCAGCAAUCAUCUUCUCCCGCAACAUCAUCUUUUCGGAUGCAUUCGCAAACAACUAGUUCAUUCGCUUGUUUCCAUUGCGUACAUUGUAGUGCUGUUUGGGAGCGAACGGUGAUUGGGUGGCCUUUGCCAAUGUACAAGGCGACAUUCACCUGCACAAUGUGUAUAGUUGUCACAAUGUUCGCCUUUCCCCUCCUUCCUGCCCAAAGUUUUGAACCGCUGAACCAAACCGGCGGGAUGCUAGAUUUCAUGUACAACAAUGUCAGGCUGGACCUGCUCAAGGUAGUCAUAUCCGCCGACGAGAAGAUUUGGCUACAUGGACUACAUUGUCAUUGA